UACAGGGGGCUCGAGCGUUAGUCGGAAUCACUGGGCUUAAAGGGUGCGUAGGCGGUCCGCCAAGUGCUUUGUGAAAUCCCACAGCUCAACUGUGGAACAGCAGGGCAAACUGGAGGACUUGAGGCAGGUAGGGGCCGGAAGAACAGUUGGUGGAGCGGUGAAAUGCGUAGAUAUCAACUGGAAUGCCGAUGGGGAAGCCGUCCGGCUGGGCCUGUCCUGACGCUGAGGCACGAAAGCGUGGGGAGCAAACAGG
rnacentral:rRNA from 1 species